rnacentral:misc_RNA from 1 species
UCUCUGCUCAAAUCCGCUGUGAACAAGCCCACCCUUAAACCCAACCCCAUACCUUCUUCACGGCUUUCGUCUCGCUCUUCUACAUUUUCAAGGUCAAUUCCUCAGUUGGGUUCUCUCCAAUCUCUGCUUCCCCUGAUCUCGACGGUCUCUUCAGCUCGAUUAACCUCAUGCCUCGGCAUCGAUUCUAGGAGCUCCCGGUCGUUGUCUCCGGGUAUGCUCAGCAGUGCAAACCCAGGAGUUUGAUAAUCUCCAAAUCU